rnacentral:rRNA from 1 species
GCCUACNCAUGCAGUAGAACGUGCUUUUACAGCAAGUUGCGAACGGGUCAGCAACACGUGSGWACCUACCCUUUUGGUUCAUAGAGAUUAUGAAAUAAUAAAGGCUAAGCCCCUGAAAGGAUGGGCUCGCGGAAUAUUAGGUUGUUGGUGUGGUAAAAGCGCACCAAGCCAAUGAUGUUUACCCGGUCUUAGCGGACGAGGCGGGGACAUUGGAACUGAGACACGGUCCAGUCUUAAUUGAAAGGCAGCAGUGAGGAAUCUUAGACAAUGAGCGAAAGCUUGAUCUAGCUAUAUCGCGUGAAUGAAAGAAGGUCGUUGUAGAUCGUAAAGUUCUUCAGUAAAACGUAGAUUAUGACAAGGUUUUACUAUUAGGCCCGGCUAACACUCGUGCCAGCAGCCGCGGUAAUACGAGGGGGUCAAGUGCUAUUCGGAAUGACUGGGUGUAAAGGGUCUGUAGGCUGUUUGUAGUAAUUUAUGUGCAAGCCCAAAGCGUUCCUUUGGGAAAAUGUAGAGGAUCUGCAGACUUGAGUUAGGUAGGAGUUGGUGGAAUAUUGUCAGGAGGGAUGAAAUCCUAUGAUAGACAAUGGAAGGCCGAAAGCGAAGGCAACCUUCUAUGCCUUAAACUGACGCUAAGAGACGAAAGCGUGGGGAGCAAAUGGGAUUAGAGACCCCGGUAGUCCACUGCUGUAAACGAUGUGCAUUAACGAUUGUGGUUGAAUUUUUAUCCUUCUGUGACGUUAAGCUAACGCGCUAAAUGCACCACCUGGGGAGUACGAUCGCAAGGUUGAAACUCAAAGGAAUUGACGGGGACCCAAACAAGUGGUGGAUCAUCCUGUUUAAUCCGAUGAUACGCGUAUAACCUUACCAAUCCUUGAAUCAGUAGCUUUUGUGGACACUCAAGCAGUUUUCCUUUUGGAGAGGAAAAGAUGAGCGUAAUGCUCAUAUUUGACAGGCGUUGCAUGGCUGCCGUCAGGUCGUGUUGUGAGACGUGUGGUUAAUUCCCGUAACGACCGAAACCCUUACAAGUUUUAUCCAUGUGAAAUAUCAUUUGGCUCAAACUUAGACUAACUUCUAUAUGUUGGAUGAAGGAGAGGAUCACGUCAAGUCGUCAUGGCCCCGAUGGAUUGGGCUACAAGGAUGAUACAUUGGCAAGUACAAUGGGAAGCAAUGAUGUGAGUCGGAGCGAAACCUAAAAGCUUGUCUUAGUCCGGAUUAAUCUCUGCAACUCGAGAUUAUGAAGAUGGAAUCACUAGUAAUCAUAGAUCAUCACGCUAUGGUGAAAUUUGUUCCUGGGUCUUGUACACACCGCCCAUCACACUCAGGGAAUUGAGGAGACCCAAAGAGGGUACUUUUUCCAGUUUAUCAAAAGGUUUUCAUUUUGAAAUUUCAAUAAAUACUUUGAAAAGCGCCUUUUUACUAGUUUGCGAAGGAGAAUACUCGUC